AGAACGAACGCUGGCGGCAUGCUUAACACAUGCAAGUCGCACGGAAACCAGGGGCUUGCUCCUGGGGAUAGUGGCGCACGGGUGAGUAACACGUAGAUAAUGUACCGUUUGGUGUGGAAUAACCGGGGGAAACUCUGGCUAAUACCGCAUAAGUUCCCUUGAGGUUCGCCGAUGGGGAAGAAAGCAGGGCAACUUGCGCCGAAUGAUCAGUCUGCGUCCCAUCAGCUAGUUGGUAAGGUAAUGGCUUACCAAGGCGACGACGGGUAGCUGGUCUGAGAGGAUGAUCAGCCACACUGGGACUGAGACACGGCCCAGGACUCCGUACGGGAGCAGCAGUGGGAAUAUUGGACAAGUGGGCGAAAGCCUGAUCCGAGCAAUGCCGCGUGAGUGAUGAAGGCCGUUCGGGUUGUAAAGCGUCGUGGUACGGGGGGAACGAAAAGUGGACGGGUAACG
rnacentral:rRNA from 1 species